AGGCAGGCGCCGGGCUGCUCGCCCCGGAAGCGCCGCUGGCUCCAAAGGGCCCCGCCGCCGCCGGCGCUCGGAGGGGCCGGGCCCCGCUCCGCUCCCGGGGGGAGCCGCCGGGCCGGGCCUCCGGAGCCCCGUCAGGCCGUCUGGGAGCGGCGGGUGCCCGGGGGCUGCCCCGCCGAACCUCGCCCCCGGCUCGCAGGGCCGGCGGCGGGAAGGAGGCCGCCCCGUCUCCAUCGGCUUCGUUUUUCUGGUCCCGGCGGUUUGAGCGCUGCGUGGAUGCGGCGCUGGCUCCGGGGGCGCGGUGAUUCAGUUGGUCGGUCAACACUGUCAUCGCGCUCACUUCGUUGACUUGAUUGCCGUGUAAUACCAGGUUCCCUUAUUUCUUUACACGCUUCAAACGCUUGCGGAGAGAUGAGCCUCCAGGUUGUUGAAGGUGACAUACUCUGGAGUAGAGUUGCUGGAGCUCUCGGCAAGCUCAUUGAUAAAGCCGAAUAAUCAAAUUAUGUGCUUUAUGACUUCCCUGGGUUGCCUGCAGGUUGGAGAAGGACUCGUAACGAAGCAUUAGAUCGAUCACAGCAGGUUGGGGAGAUGUGCUGGCAGGUGUCAGGAAGAACUCUUCUCUGCCUUACUUAACUCAGGAUCAGGAGAUUUUUUUCCUUCCUCUGCCUGGCAGGGGCCAGGGUGGAAGUUAAGACCCCUGGAGACUGGGCAGAGUUUACCCGCUGGAGACUGCCCCAUCAGCUUUCUGUGAACUGAACUCUGGGAGGUCACGUACCAAUGGAAUUGGAACUUCAGUAUCUGUUAAUAACUUGGUGUGAUAAAGCACUAACCACACGCAGCUCCUUUCCUUCCAUUCUGCUCUCCUUCCCAUCUCUGCAUACUCCUCACUUUUGCCUGUUCCUCUCAAUAAAAAACUCGUUCAAUGAUCCACUUUUUAAGAAAAAUACUAGCAAUGCUGUCUUGCAGAACUCACAGCUGGAAGAAGCCAGUCCCUCCAGGCUGCUGCUUUUCAGAAAAGCUCACUAAAAAUUAAUUUUUCAAGGCGGCUUAAAUUAUUCGCUGUCCUCCUAUAACAAAUGCUGCAACACUCCACUGCUAAAUUGCCUUUUAACUUUAUUGGCUACUGCAUCCAUCAUUUCCAAUAAAAAUAAAGCUAGCAGUUAUCUUUGGUAAGAGCAUGUUGUGACACCGAUUGUGCUGAGAAAAGGGAGUGGUGUCUAUUCAGGUCAGUUGGGAGGAAUGGCUUGUUGCAGGGUAGAAGAACUUAAAAUAAAUCUUCUGAAACCUGCUUGAGAAACUAAGACUCAUCAGUUUUAAGAAAUUUCAUCCUUAUAUAACAUAUAACACUUGUCUCUGUGGACCACUCUAUAGGGAACCACAGCCCUACCCACAGGGAGAGGCAGCCAAAAGGCAGGUAACCAGCCUUUACCAACUACAUUGCAAGGUCUGACAACCCCAGAGAGUGCCCAUCAGUCUCACUUAUCUUAUUUUCUCUUAAUCAGCAUGAAGAGAGGAGUGUUGAUUACUGAAGUGGUGGGUCUAGGAUUAGAACCAUGUCCUCUUCUGCUUCAGGAUCCAUCCUGUGUAAAGAGACACUAAAAGCUGGUCCAGGAACUCUGUGAUCCUCUCCUGCAGUCUCUUGGCACCUACAGUCCACUUUGCUCACUCACUGAAAGUGUAAGUGGCUGUUUGUAUCUGCAGCAUCUGAUGCUCUUGAACCAAUAAGGAAGGUGGCUGGUUCCUGGGGAAGUCAUUUUGGGAAAGGCCUUGACCAGUUUCAUCCCACCUCCCAAAGAAAUCUUCCUCCUGGACCUGCAGCACAGAGAUCUUCAAAGAGGGAGGAAAAAGAAAGGAAAGAGCAAAAUAAAACAGGACCAUCAAGCAACAUCAGUCUUGUGACACCCUUCCUCACAGCAGUCGCUUCUGUGAUGUUGCAUCAUUUCUAAAAAUAGAACUCAAGGUCCUUUGGGAAAUGGCACUUGUAUUUGUUCUGAAAAGUACGCUGUGUGUUUUGAGUCUUAUUUUAAAAAGCCAUGAACCAAGUAGAAGAA